UCAGACAUAGUGUAGUGGUAGCAUGGUCUCUUUUCUUGAAACCUGCAUGAGAAUCUUGAGGCAGGGCUUGGGUUCGAAUCCUGGGAUCUGAA